rnacentral:rRNA from 1 species
UUUUAGAAUUAAAUUUAAAGUYUAACCUGCCCACUGAAAAUUUUUUAAAUGGCCGCAGUAUUCUAACUGUGCAAAGGUAGCAUAAUCAUUAGUCUUUUAAUUGAAGGCUGGAAUGAAUGGUUGAAUGAAAUAUUAACUGUUUCAUAAAAAGUGUAAAUAAAAUUUUAUUUUUUAGUCAAAAAGCUAAAAUAAUAUUAAAAGACGAGAAGACCCUAUAAAUCUUUAUAUUUAAAUAAUUUUAAUUAUAUAGAUUAAUUAAAUUAUAAUUAUUUUAAAUAUUUUAUUGGGGUGAUAUUAAAAUUUAAUAAACUUUUAAUUUAUUAUAAACAUAAAUUAAUGAAUUAUUGAUCCAUUUAUUAUGAUUAAAAAAUUAAGUUACUUUAGGGAUAACAGCGUAAUUUUUUUAGAGAGUUCAUAUUGAUAAAAA